rnacentral:rRNA from 1 species
CCUACGGGGAGCAGCAGUAGGGAAUAUUGCUCAAUGGGGGAAACCCUGAAGCAGCAACGCCGCGUGGAGGAUGAAGGUUUUCGGAUUGUAAACUCCUUUUGUUAGAGAAGAUAAUGACGGUAUCUAACGAAUAAGCACCGGCUAACUCCGUGCCAGCAGCCGCGGUAAUACGGAGGGUGCAAGCGUUACUCGGAACCACUGGGCGUAAAGAGCGCGUAGGCGGGAUAGCAAGUCAGAUGUGAAAUCCUUUGGCUUAACCAUAGAACUGCAUUUGAAACUGUUAUUCUAGAGUAUGGGAGAGGUAGGUGGAAUUCUUGGUGUAGGGGUAAAAUCCGUAGAGAUCUAGAGGAAUACUCAUUGCGAAGGCGACCUGCUAGAACAUAACUGACGCUGAUGCGCGAAAGCGUGGGGAGCAAACAGGAUUAGAUACCCUAGUAGUC